UGGGGAAUAUUGGACAAUGGGCGCAAGCCUGAUCCAGCCAUGCCGCGUGAGUGAUGAAGGCCCUAGGGUUGUAAAGCUCUUUCACCGGUGAAGAUAAUGACGGUAACCGGAGAAGAAGCCCCGGCUAACUUCGUGCCAGCAGCCGUGGUAAUACGAAGGGGGCUAGCGUUGUUCGGAUUUACUGGGCGUAAAGCGCACGUAGGCGGACUAUUAAGUCAGGGGUGAAAUCCCGGGGCUCAACCCCGGAACUGCCUUUGAUACUGGUAGUCUUGAGUUCGAGAGAGGUGAGUGGAAUUCCGAGUGUAGAGGUGAAAUUCGUAGAUAUUCGGAGGAACACCAGUGGCGAAGGCGGCUCACUGGCUCGAUACUGACGCUGAGGUGCGAAAGCGUGGGGAGCAAACAGG
rnacentral:rRNA from 1 species